UCAUGGGAUCAGGAAGUACGGAUAUUAGGUAUUGUUAUAUUACUGAUCAUUAUACUGACUCUGAGUUAGCUCAUAUGAUGCUACUCGAUGCAUGUUUUCUUUUGAGCUAUAUGGAAUCCUUCACAGUAGUACAAUCCCCAGCUAAGGAUUUCUUUGUAAGAAAUCUUGGUUUCGUAACGUACUUGACUGUACAACGGGAUAUAUUUUUGCUUGAAAAUCAAAUUCCAAUCAUGGUUAUCAAGAUGUUGAAGUAUGGCGAUGAAAACUUGCAGAAGGAAUUGUUUGGUAGGUUUUGCAGGUCAGUGGUUUUUCGUGAUCAGCCAACAAAAUCAACGGCCAAUAUUGAUGGAAAAAACCAUGAGGAUGAUCAACCUCUUCAUCUUCUUGAAAUUCUUCGAGAUGUCAUCGUCUCCGGACCACUACUUCAACCAGAAACACACCACCACCUACGGCUCUCUACAAAAGAUUUAGAAUUUGAAAUUCUUCAGAAUAAACGAGCAAUUGGCGAAAGAUCGUAGAGAUGUUGGAGAUUGUGGUGAAUAACCCAAGAAUGGUUCCAGAACGGCUGGAAGACGUGGCAAUUCGAAAUGGAGGAGUCACAUCUACCCCUUUUGGUCAGUUAGAGACCUCAAACAAAAGGGCAUUGUGUUUAGAUCAAGUAGCAGAAAUUCUAUCGUGGGAAUUCAGUUCACAUCCUACAACUGGUAUGGACACCUCCAUCUUCCAAAGGAACAUAUAAACAACAACAGCAAGGUAUUCUAUGCGAAUAUGACAGCUUAUGAGAUGAAUCCAAACACGAAUACUCAAUAUGAGGUGACAUGUUAUGUGAACUUAAUGAAGUCGCUUAUAGUAUGUCCAGAAGAUGUGAAACAAGUACGAGAGAAAGGAGUAAUCUGCAACCACCUGGGAACAGAUGAAGAAGUAGCCAAAGUAUUCCAAGAUAUUACUACAUAUGAUGUUGUCUCCCAAGGUGGUAAUCUUGUGGAUAUUAUGAGCGCAAUUCAGUACCAUGUUAGCCGCAGAUCAAGAACACUGAUGGCACAGUGCUAUUGGAGUUAUUUUAGCAGUCCGUGGUCAUUUCUCGCUUUACUUGUAGCAAUUGUGCUACUUUGCUUAACUAUUAUGCAAACUAAUUAUACUAUG